rfam:Bacillus pseudofirmus OF4, complete genome.
ACAAAAAAAACCUCGUAAGAUGAACUUACGAGGUGCCAUGUAACAUACCUAUGUAUGUACUAGGCUAUGGGAGAGGAGAAACCGGAGGAAGAACUUAUGGGGAAACGUAAGUCUUCUCCGCGG